GCUGCUGCGGCCGCCGAGCGUUUCUGCAAAGCAUCCAGCCGGGCCGCUGGUGGGCCGCUUUCAUGACAAUGCAUUCUAACAAUACCCUGAACAUGGCGCUAUAGCGAAUUGAACAUGUGUAAGGCAAGACAAUCACCAUUUGGAUCCCACGCUGUAGUACCGUGAAAACUAGAAGGUGGCAGAGUCACCUACAUAGCUAUGUUCGGAUGUUUUGUGCUUCUUCGCAUAUCAACAGUUGAACAGGUGAUGACGUUUUCUGUAGUUUUGUUCCCGGAGGAGGAUGACUGUGUGGCAGCAAUUCCACGUCUGUGGCUCAAAGGAGGACUUGAGGACGACAAGUUUGCCAGAACCUGCUCAGCUGUCCCUUAUAAGCUCAUCAAGCAUGCAGACACGAGAGACCGGACAUGUGAAUCGCCAGAGGAGCGAAAAUUCGUUCCAGUGUGGGCCCCUACCACCCCAAGGACACACAUCUACACCACAAAACUCUGUGGAUUGCAGCCCUGGAGCACAGUAGUCCAGCGCACCAGAGAGGUACUCCACGCCACCAUGUAAAGGAUGGCUACAUAGGCACGAAGGCAGAGGUAGGGGGAGGUUUUAGCUCUGCACAUGAAGAACAUUUGGAGAAGAUCAAGUAGCUGACUGAAGAAAAGGUUGAGCUGAGGGCACAGCUGGCUCUACAAUCAGCUUCUGAUAAACGUCUGACUGAAAAGAAUGUCAAGCCGAGGGCACAGCUGGCUCUACAAUCAGGAGCUAUAAGGAAGAAUCCUUCCAACCAGGAUGCCACUGAUGAGGCUGUCCAGAACCAGGUCCCCAGGUACCAGAAAGGGGCAGCUGACCGUGCAGGUGGGAGAAGAUGUCGUGGCGGUACAAGGGACCUGCCGUGAAUAUGAAUGACAUCUCCAGCACAACCAAUAUUGCUGCUAAGCUGCAGUACUGUAUUUCUGUUUUUUUACUGCUGCUAUGUACAGUGUUAUAUAUAUAUAUAUAUGAUUGCCUUAUCCUCUUAAUAUAUUUAUAGCUCUGUGUGAAUGUUCUUAAUUCUGACUGUAGUGUUAUUGCACUGAUGUAUCUAUGAUAUUCAAUAACUAUUGAUU
ensembl:lncRNA